GCUCUGCGGAGACGCCUGGCUGUGACCCUCCGACGGGGAUUAGGAAGGAUUCGCCGAGGCUGGAAGAACCGCCGCGAGCAGCAAGCAGCGAGGCUCAGAAACAUUUCCGCGGAUGGAGCAAAAGAUGGGAGGAGGCCACCGCAGAGUGGACAAGAGGAGUCCCGGCGACCCACACUCGUUCUCUUACUGCUGCGUUGACGCGGGCACCUGGGGGGGCUCAGCCCUGCCCUGAGAAGCCCACAGUCCGGGGGGACACACAAGCAGCCACGCUCUUCCAAGCAAACGUUACCGGCUCUUCAGAGAACCUUUGGAGAGAACCAAGCCAACAGGACAGAAGCAAGCCAAUGAGAGCCAGGCUGCCCUUCCUGCCUGCGUGUCCUCCUGGGCUGUCCCCUCCCCCCCAAGGAAAGGAACCCAGCACAGCUGGGAGGAGACUCCGCACA